rnacentral:rRNA from 2 species
ACCCUUUAAUGUUUGAUGUUCUAACGUGGACCCGUAAUCCGGGUUGCGGACAGUGUCUGGUGGGUAGUUUGACUGGGGCGGUCUCCUCCUAAAGAGUAACGGAGGAGCACGAAGGUUGGCUAAUCCUGGUCGGACAUCAGGAGGUUAGUGCAAUGGCAUAAGCCAGCUUGACUGCGAGCGUGACGGCGCGAGCAGGUGCGAAAGCAGGUCAUAGUGAUCCGGUGGUUCUGAAUGGAAGGGCCAUCGCUCAACGGAUAAAAGGUACUCCGGGGAUAACAGGCUGAUACCGCCCAAGAGUUCAUAUCGACGGCGGUGUUUGGCACCUCGAUGUCGGCUCAUCACAUCCUGGGGCUGAAGUAGGUCCCAAGGGUAUGGCUGUUCGCCAUUUAAAGUGGUACGCGAGCUGGGUUUAGAACGUCGUGAGACAGUUCGGUCCCUAUCUGCCGUGGGCGCUGGAGAACUGAGGGGGGCUGCUCCUAGUACGAGAGGACCGGAGUGGACGCAUCACUGGUGUUCGGGUUGUCAUGCCAAUGGCACUGCCCGGUAGCUAAAUGCGGAAGAGAUAAGUGCUGAAAGCAUCUAAGCACGAAACUUGCCCCGAGAUGAGUUCUCCCUGAGACUUAGAGUCUCCUGAAGGAACGUUGAAGACGACGACGUUGAUAGGCCGGGUGUGUAAGCGCAGCGAUGCGUUGAGCUAACCGGUACUAAUGAACCGUGAGGCUUAACCUUACAACGCCGAA